rnacentral:rRNA from 1 species
UACGGAGGGGGCUAGCGUUAUUCGGAAUUACUGGGCGUAAAGCGCACGUAGGCGGCUUUGUAAGUAAGAGGUGAAAGCCCGGAGCUCAACUCCGGAACUGCCUUUUAGACUGCAUCGCUUGAAUCCAGGAGAGGUGAGUGGAAUUCCGAGUGUAGAGGUGAAAUUCGUAGAUAUUCGGAAGAACACCAGUGGCGAAGGCGGCUCACUGGACUGGUAUUGACGCUGAGGUACGAAAGCGUGGGGAGCAAACAGG